rnacentral:rRNA from 1 species
UACGUAGGGUGCGAGCGUUGUCCGGAAUUAUUGGGCGUAAAGGGCUCGUAGGCGGUUUGUCGCGUCGGGAGUGAAACCCAGGGCUUAACUCUGGGCUUGCUUUCGAUACGGGCGGACUGGAGGCCAGUAGGGGGAUGCGGAAUUCCGGGUGUAGUGGUGGAAUGCGUAGAGAUCCGGAGGAACACCAGCGGCGAAGGCGGCAUCCUGGACUGGUCCUGACACUCAGGAGCGAAAGCGCUGGGGAGCGAUCCGG